rnacentral:tRNA from 1 species
GGCUCGGUAGCAUAGUUGGUAAAGCGCUCGUUUAGCAUACAAGAGUCCUGGGUUCGAAUCCGAGCCGAGCAC